rnacentral:tRNA from 1 species
GGUUCCAUAGUGUAGCGGUUAGGUUAGCACGUCUGCUUUACACACAGAAGGUUCUGGGUUCGUGCCUCAGUGGAGCCA